GUGGGUAUAGCCCAGUGGUAGAGCGUGUGCUUAGCAUGCGGGAGGUCCUGGGUUCAAUCCACAGUACCUCCA
rnacentral:tRNA from 1 species